rnacentral:rRNA from 1 species
UGGGGAAUAUUGGACAAUGGGCGCAAGCCUGAUCCAGCCAUGCCGCGUGAGUGAUGAAGGCCCUAGGGUUGUAAAGCUCUUUCAGCGAGGAGGAUAAUGACGUUACUCGCAGAAGAAGCCCCGGCUAACUUCGUGCCAGCAGCCGCGGUAAUACGAAGGGGGCUAGCGUUGUUCGGAAUCACUGGGCGUAAGGCGCACGUAGGCGGACUUUUAAGUCAGGGGUGAAAUCCCGGGGCUCAACCUCGGAACUGCCUUUGAUACUGGAAGUCUGGAGUCCGAGAGAGGUGAGUGGGAACUCCGAGUGUAGAGGUGAAAUUCGUAGAUAUUCGGAAGAACACCAGUGGCGAAGGCGGCUCACUGGCUCGGUACUGACGCUGAGGUGCGAAAGCGUGGGGAGCAAACAGGACUAGAUACCCUGGUAGUCCACGCCGUAAGCGAUGGAAGCUAGCCGUCA